AGAGUUUGAUCCUGGCUCAGGACGAACGCUGGCGGCGUGCUUAACACAUGCAAGUCGAACGAUGAAGCCUUUCGGGGUGGAUUAGUGGCGAACGGGUGAGUAACACGUGGGCAAUCUGCCCUUCACUCUGGGACAAGCCCUGGAAACGGGGUCUAAUACCGGAUAACACUCCUGCCUGCAUGGGCGGGGGUUAAAAGCUCCGGCGGUGAAGGAUGAGCCCGCGGCCUAUCAGCUUGUUGGUGGGGUAAUGGCCCACCAAGGCGACGACGGGUAGCCGGCCUGAGAGGGCGACCGGCCACACUGGGACUGAGACACGGCCCAGACUCCUACGGGAGGCAGCAGUGGGGAAUAUUGCACAAUGGGCGAAAGCCUGAUGCAGCGACGCCGCGUGAGGGAUGACGGCCUUCGGGUUGUAAACCUCUUUCAGCAGGGAAGAAGCGAAAGUGACGGUACCUGCAGAAGAAGCGCCGGCUAACUACGUGCCAGCAGCCGCGGUAAUACGUAGGGCGCAAGCGUUGUCCGGAAUUAUUGGGCGUAAAGAGCUCGUAGGCGGCUUGUCGCGUCGGAUGUGAAAGCCCGGGGCUUAACCCCGGGUCUGCAUUCGAUACGGGCAGGCUAGAGUGUGGUAGGGGAGAUCGGAAUUCCUGGUGUAGCGGUGAAAUGCGCAGAUAUCAGGAGGAACACCGGUGGCGAAGGCGGAUCUCUGGGCCAUUACUGACGCUGAGGAGCGAAAGCGUGGGGAGCGAACAGGAUUAGAUACCCUGGUAGUCCACGCCGUAAACGUUGGGAACUAGGUGUUGGCGACAUUCCACGUCGUCGGUGCCGCAGCUAACGCAUUAAGUUCCCCGCCUGGGGAGUACGGCCGCAAGGCUAAAACUUAAAGGAAUUGACGG
rnacentral:rRNA from 1 species